UACGAAGGGGGCUAGCGUUGUUCGGAUUUACUGGGCGUAAAGCGCACGUAGGCGGAUUGUUAAGUGAGAGGUGAAAUCCCGGAGCUCAACUCCGGAACUGCCUUUCAUACUGGCAAUCUAGAGUCCGGAAGAGGUGAGUGGAACUCCUAGUGUAGAGGUGGAAUUCGUAGAUAUUAGGAAGAACACCAGUGGCGAAGGCGGCUCACUGGUCCGGUACUGACGCUGAGGUGCGAAAGCGUGGGGAACAA
rnacentral:rRNA from 1 species